rnacentral:rRNA from 1 species
AGGACUAACGCUGGCGGCGUGCCUAACACAUGCAAGUCGAACGAGAGUAGCAAUACUCUAGUGGCAGACGGGUGAGUAACACGUGGUCAACCUACCUUUAAGUGGGGGAUAACUAGCCGAAAGGUUAGCUAAUACCGCAUACGAUCUUCGCGUGGCAUCACAUGAAGAUGAAAGGAGCAAUCCGCUGAAAGACGGGACCGCGUCCCAUUAGCCAGUUGGUGGGGUAACGGCCUACCAAAGCAACGAUGGGUAGCUGGCUUGAGAGAGCGACCAGCCACACUGGGACUGAGACACGGCCCAGACUCCUACGGGAGGCAGCAGUGAGGAAUUUUCCGCAAUGGGCGAAAGCCUGACGGAGCGACGCCGCGUGUGGGAUGAAGGCCUUCGGGUCGUAAACCACUGUCGAAGGGGAAGAUAUCGACGGUACCCUUGGAGGAAGCCCCGGCUAACUACGUGCCAGCAGCCGC